rnacentral:lncRNA from 1 species
AAUCAGAACCAGCUAUAUCGUUGGGGACCUUGUUGAAGGGAAUGGCUGGUGGACUCCGAUCGACAGGCUUCUUGAGCUAAGCCAAUGAGGAGGGCAACGACGAUGUAUCGACACCGGAGCUUUGAAUCUUGCCACAUGCUCGACGUAAUGCCUGGCCCAUCUCUCACUCACGUUAACUUUAAGACUCUAUAUAUAUAACCGUGGCUGCCGAAGGAGUUGAAAUCGUGACGGCCAACGAGAAUGAGCUCGGAGACGCCGAGAGCGGUGUCAUUUCUGAUUUGGGAGGAGCGAAGCUCUUACAUGAAAUUUGGGAGGAGAGAAGCCCUUAUACGGACGUGAGAGGUGGAACCGUGUUUUUUUUUAAAACAAAUCUGCCAAAACUACGUAAUUUUGGCGGACUGUGUACAAAAAUUUUUUGCAAGGAUGUGUAUGGCCAUUAUUCCCUAUAUAUAUAUAUAUAUAUAUAUA